rnacentral:lncRNA from 1 species
GGCUCGGGUUCCGCGCUGCCGGCAGGGCUUGGGGGCGCCUUAGAGCCGGACCCCGUUUUUUCAGGAAAGGGCGCUGCGACCACCCCCGUCCCGGGCCUCAGCCCCUCUGCUGCAGACCCUCGGGAUCGUCGCUGGAAAGAUUCUGAAGCUCGGCGGAGAGGGGUGUGUGAGUGGACACCAGUGAAGUAACGGUUUUUGUGUUAACGAUGAUUUCUGUUUUCCUCUGCUGCCCUGUAAUGGCAGGAACUCGGAUAGUCUGGUCUUCAGACCAGGAGGACUCCCAGGAGAGAACGGAGAGCCAGCGUGCUGUGUGUCACGGUCCCUGGAUGAACGUUUGUGGAACUGGAUUGAAUUAAACAAGACGUGCAAAGCAAGUGGUUCACGAGGGUCUUGCUCCGUCGCCCAGUCUGGAGUGCAGUGUUAAGAUCUCUGCUCAGUGCAGCCUUGAACUCUCAGGCUCAAGAAAUCUUCCCGCCUCAGCUUCCCAAAGUGCUGGGAUUACAGAUUUGAUUGCUGUAGGGACCCCGUGGGUGUGGAAUCAGACGGUAUUGGUCCUUUCAUGACUGGCUUAUUU